rnacentral:rRNA from 1 species
CAGUAGCCGCGGUAAUACGGAGGGAGCUAGCGUUAUUCGGAAUUACUGGGCGUAAAGCGCACGUAGGCGGCUUUGUAAGUAAGAGGUGAAAGCCCGGAGCUCAACUCCGGAACUGCCUUUUAGACUGCAUCGCUUGAAUCCAGGAGAGGUGAGUGGAAUUCCGAGUGUAGAGGUGAAAUUCGUAGAUAUUCGGGAGAACACCAGUGGCGAAGGCGGCUCACUGGACUGGUAUUGACGCUGAGGUGCGAAAGCGUGGGGAGCAAACAGGAUUAGAUACCCCAGUAGUCCCUGUCUCUUAUAC